rnacentral:rRNA from 1 species
UUUUGACGCACGUUUUCUUCUGCGUCAGUAAGAACGUCAGUGUUUCCUGCGCGUACACGCAAGGUAAACGCGAACAAUUCAGCGGCUUUAACCGGACGCUCGACGCCAUUAAUAAUGUUUUCCGUAAAUUCAGCGCCUUCCAUGAUGAGACAGGCCGUUUGAAUGUUGACGGGAUGAACAUAAUAAGCAAUGACGG